rnacentral:snRNA from 1 species
GUGCUCACUUUGACAGCACAUGGACUAAAAUUGGAACAAGACAGAGAAGAUGAGCAAGGCCCCUGAGAAAGGAUGACAUGAAAAUUCACUGUUAUAUGUUUUU